rnacentral:rRNA from 1 species
GACGAACGCUGGCGGCGUGCUUAACACAUGCAAGUCGAACGGAAAGGCCCUGCUUUUGUGGGGUGCUCGAGUGGCGAACGGGUGAGUAACACGUGAGUAACCUGCCCUUGACUUUGGGAUAACUUCAGGAAACUGGGGCUAAUACCGGAUAGGAGCUCCUGCUGCAUGGUGGGGGUUGGAAAGUUUCGGCGGUUGGGGAUGGACUCGCGGCUUAUCAGCUUGUUGGUGGGGUAGUGGCUUACCAAGGCUUUGACGGGUAGCCGGCCUGAGAGGGUGACCGGCCACAUUGGGACUGAGAGACGGCCCAGACUCCUACGGGAGGCAGCAGUGGGGAAUAUUGCACAAUGGGCGGAAGCCUGAUGCAGCAACGCCGCGUGCGGGAUGACGGCCUUCGGGUUGUAAACCGCUUUCGCCUGUGACGAAGCGUGAGUGACGGUAAUGGGUUAAGAAGCACCGGCUAACUACGUG